UGACUGUUUUAGCAUAGCUUUCGCCGUGUGUCUCCUGGUGUCUCGCUUCAGCUUGACUCAGGUCGCCUUCUGUUGCGCGAUUUGGUCAGUACGCGUACGCUGUGAAUAAAUUUGAUGCA
rnacentral:misc_RNA from 1 species